UUCUAGGACUGUUUGUGAAAAAAAGAGUAAGAAUUCUGCAACAUUCCAUUGUGACAGCUUUUUAGCCUCUUUUGGUAGGUAAAGCAGUUGGGAGGGAGCAGCAACUGUUACUAGGUGAGGAUAGAAAAUAGAAGAAAAUGAGCCAUUUGAAAUGGUAGUUGAAUAUGUUGCUAGGCCUUUGGCUUGGAUGGUAUUGGGAAUAUGGGGUGCCUUGAGAGAAUGGUAGGUCCAAAGUUUUGCUGGGACUAGUGGAGGUUGAUUAUGAAAAAGAUGGAUCAAGUACGAGACUCAUAGAGAUGGUCCCUUCUGGUUUACAAGACCCUGCACAAUAUUUAUUUCUUUAUUUUUUCGUACGCACCACAUUUAGUACGGUGAAGAGAUGGUCUUGGCUUCGAUUGGAAGGGACCAUUUUAUCCAUUCGGGCUCAAGUGAAGUGACAAACUAUCAUUUCUUUCUUCUUGAUAUAAAAUAUAUUAUUUUAUUCAUCA